GCCAUCUUGGAAUUUAGAGUACAAAUCGGUCGAUACAAGCUUCAAAAAGACAACCUUACUCAACUACGUUCAAAUUAUCUAAAAGACACUACAUAUAUGUACUUUUCGAAAACAUGCUAAACACCAACUACUCCUAAAGUUCGAGUGAGGGAAGGACAACUUAGCUAAAAGUAUCUCUAUUUUUGGAUUUUUCUAAUUUUUCAUUUUUUUAGGGUUUU
rnacentral:lncRNA from 1 species